rnacentral:rRNA from 1 species
CCUACGGGAGGCAGCAGUGGGGAAUAUUGGACAAUGGGCGAAAGCCUGAUCCAGCAAUGCCGCGUGAGUGAUGAAGGCCUUCGUGUCGUAAAGCUCUUUUACCAGGGAUGAUAAUGACAGUACCUGGAGAAUAAGCUCCGGCUAACUCCGUGCCAGCAGCCGCGGUAAUACGGAGGGAGCUAGCGUUGUUCGGAAUUACUGGGCGUAAAGAGUACGUAGGCGGUUAUUCAAGUCAGAGGUGAAAGCCCGGGGCUCAACCCCGGAACUGCCUUUGAAACUAGAUAACUAGAGUCUUGGAGAGGUUAGUGGAAUUCCGAGUGUAGAGGUGAAAUUCGUAGAUAUUCGGAAGAACACCAGUGGCGAAGGCGACUAACUGGACAAGUACUGACGCUGAGGUACGAAAGCGUGGGGAGCAAACAGGAUUAGAUACCCUGGUAGUCCACGCCGUAAACGAUGAUAACUAGUUGUUCGGUCACUUGGUGACUGAGUGACGCAGCUAACGCAUUAAGUUAUCCGCCUGGGGAGUACGGUCGCAAGAUUAAAACUUAAAGGAAAUUGACGG